rnacentral:lncRNA from 1 species
CCUGCCUGGAAUGUGGAGUCUCUUCCCACUGCUCUCACCUCUCUCAGCACAGCCUGGGCAAGGGGCCCUUCUCCUCCCCCUAAUAUAGGAAGUACUUCAGCCAAGGGGCCCACCUGACCCUGUGCGAACACUUUCACACAGGUGAUAGGCCCUACUCCUGCAGAAAGUGUGGCCACAGCUCUUGCCACAGCUCACACCUGGCCCAGCACUGCGGCACACACCUGCCUGAACCCAAUCACUGCCACCAGCGUGGCAAGGGCCUCUCCCCAAGGCUCCAGCCCGUUGCAGCCUGCCACUCUACACACAGGCAAGCAGCCUUACGUCUGUGCCACCUAAGCCUUCUUGUGGUAGAUGAGGGUGCUGGCCCCCACUCCAACCUGCAACACCAGCAGCAGAACCAUACCUGGGGGCGUCCCCAUCACAGUGACCAGUGAGGCAAGGGCUAUGGACAUUGCUCAGGGCUGGUGCAGCACCAGCAAGUCUGCAGAAGCAAAGGCUGCAGGCAUGGUUUCUGAUACAGCCCCAGGCUGGUGCAGCAUCACCAGGGCCACAUCAGGGACAGGCUCUACUGCUUGCCUCUGUGGCUGUGGUUUCACUUGGAACACCCACCUGCCAUGACACCAG